UACGUAGGGCGCAAGCGUUGUCCGGAAUUAUUGGGCGUAAAGAGCUCGUAGGCGGUCUGUCGCGUCGGCUGUGAAAACCCGAGGCUCAACCUCGGGCCUGCAGUCGAUACGGGCAGACUAGAGUGCUGUAGGGGGAGACUGGAAUUCCUGGUGUAGCGGUGAAAUGCGCAGAUAUCAGGAGGAACACCGGUGGCGAAGGCGGGUCUCUGGGCAGUAACUGACGCUGAGGAGCGAAAGCGUGGGGAGCAAACAGG
rnacentral:rRNA from 1 species